GACGAACGCUGGCGGCGUGCUUAACACAUGCAAGUCGAACGGUGAAGCGCCUUCCUUUUUGGUGGGUGUGGAUGAGUGGCGAACGGGUGAGUAACACGUGAGUAACCUGCCCCCUUCUUCUGGAUAACCGCAUGAAAGUGUGGCUAAUACGGGAUAUUCUGGGUCUGUCGCAUGAUGGGUCUGGGAAAGAUAUUGUUUCGGUGGGGGAUGGGCUCGCGGCCUAUCAGCUUGUUGGUGGGGUGAUGGCCUACCAAGGCGGUGACGGGUAGCCGGCCUGAGAGGGUGGACGGUCACACUGGGAAUGAGGCACGGCCCAGACUCCUACGGGAGGCAGCAGUGGGGAAUAUUGCACAAUGGGCGCAAGCCUGAUGCAGCGACGCCGCGUGAGGGAUGGAGGCCUUCGGGUUGUGAACCUCUUUCGCCAGUGAAGCAGGCCUGCCUCGUUUGUGGGUGGGUUGACGGUAGCUGGAUAAGAAGCGCCGGCUAACUACGUG
rnacentral:rRNA from 1 species